GAUGUGGUAGCGCAGCGGUUAAGUGUGCUUGACUUGGGCUUGAGAGGUCCUGAGUUCGAGUCCUAUCCACGGUA